rnacentral:rRNA from 1 species
UACGUAGGGGGCAAGCGUUGUCCGGAAUCAUUGGGCGUAAAGCGCGUGUAGGCGGUCCGGUAAGUCCGCUGUGAAAGUCGGGGGGCUCAACCCUCGGAUGCCGGUGGAUACUGUCGGGCUUGAGUACGGAAGAGGCGAGUGGAAUUCCUGGUGUAGCGGUGAAAAUGCGCAGAUAUCAGGAGGAACACCAAUUGCGAAGGCAGCUCGCUGGGACGUUACUGACGCUGAGACGCGAAAGCGUGGGGAGCAAACAGG